rnacentral:lncRNA from 1 species
UCAACUGGACAGAUUUUUUUUGCUAUUCUGAGAGAUGCUACCUGAGAGAUUUUACAGUGGGCUCUCCAUAGCCACAGAUUCUGAAUAGGGACUGGGUAAAAUAAGGCUGAGACCUACUGGGCUGCAUUCCCAAAAGGUUAGGCAUUCUUAGUCACAGGAUGAGAUAGGAAGUCAGCACAAGAAACAGGUCACAAAGAUCUUGUGAUAAAACAGGAUGUGGUAAAGAAGCCG